UCAGAUCUGUGUACACACAGCUCCUGUAGUCUUCAUCAAAAAAAAUUUCUGGGUGCAGGUUUAGAUGAAGACGAUUCAGUCUAAGAGGUUGCAGUCUGGGCAAACAACAAUUAGGUCAGUGUUUCUGCAGUGAAAGGGUUUCUCCUCACUACAAUGUUCCUCCAACCAGUGACCAUCACCCAUGGAAUUGAAGGCAUUUGGGCACAUGGCCCUCUGCAAGACCUGG